UGACCAACACUGAAUAAAUCAACAUGUAGUUAAACGCAACGUUUUUGAUUUAGGUCUGAUCACGUUCUUCAUCUCCGCCGUACGAGAGAGCGUUGUUUCAUCUUCUUCCUAAAAAUCUGCAUUCAAUGCGUUUUCCCUUUUCACAAAGCGUUCGAUCUCAAGCUAUAAAAAGGUGAGGCGUCAUCCUUGACCAUCAUUCCUCACAAUUCUAAAUAGCCUCUGAAAAUUCUUCAUUAAAAUCUUUAUUUUACAAGACAAUUCAUGUCCGUUCGAUUUCUACUUCGGCCACCUUCUCUGAGAAACCAUACAAGUUUGAUGAGGAAUAGGAAAGGCAGAGGAAAUUGCAAGAACAAUUCAGCGUGAUGAAGCUUUGCGCAUCUACAGAUUUGCAGAAACAACAACGAGAAAAGGUACCAAAAGAGCAAAUGGAACCGAAAUUAAACUCAAAAAAUUCUUACAUGUAUGUUUAGUAAAUGGCUUCAUAUCCGGUGUCUUUUGUUUGAUUUUUGUAUCAGAUAGUCAAGAUCGUAACUUUUGAGCUCACCUUACUUCGACUCUGCAAUUUCAUUGAUGUGGCUGGAGUGAACCUAGCUCGCUGUUCUGGGUUGUUACGUCGUUACAUAUAUAAAGAUGAUCUUUAAUCUAUUUCACUAAAAUCAAUGUGGGUUUGAGAGCUACAAGAUUCUUAGUGUUCUGCCAUGAUCAACUCUUCUAUCUAGCUUU
rnacentral:lncRNA from 1 species